rnacentral:lncRNA from 1 species
CCACCUCGUACUUCAAAGCUUCUUGAUCGAUCCAUAUCGCAUGCGACUCGACCACCACAAAGAUACUCGACCACUCUUUUCUUUCUUUUUUUUUUUUUUUUUUUAACGGGUUUCUACAUUCUCCCCCCCUUAAUAGAAUUCGUCCUCCAAUUCUUAGUUGCGAAAUUGCUCGUCUUCACAACAUUCUCCAAGCGUCUCCAUAACCUCUUUACUCUGUCCAUAACUGUUCCUUGAGUGUCCUCUUCAAGGCCUCGACAAUCGUCUUCAUAUCUCAUCACUGGAAUGAUCACUGAGUCAUCCUCUUGCUUUUACUCUGCCAUAACACACUCAUUGCCCUGAUACGAUCUUGU